rnacentral:rRNA from 1 species
UACAGAGGGUGCGAGCGUUUAAUCGGAAUUACUGGGCGUAAAGCGUGCGUAGACGGUUAUUUAAGUCGGAUGUGAAAGCCCCGGGCUCAACCUGGGAAUUGCAUUCGAGACUGAAUAGCUAGGGUACGGUAGAGGGAAGUGGAAUUUCCGGUGUAGCGGUGAAAUGCGUAGAUAUCGGAAGGAACAUCAGUGGCGAAAGCGACUUCCUGGACCAGUACCGACGUCAGGCACGAAAGCGUGGGGAGCAAACAGG